UACGGAGGGUGCGAGCGUUGUCCGGAAUCAUUGGGCGUAAAGGGUGCGCAGGUGGCAUGGUAAGUUUGGUGUGAAAGCUUCGGGCUUAACCCGGAAAUGGCAUUGAAUACUACUGUGCUGGAGGAUUGGAGGGGGGACUGGAAUUCUUGGUGUAGCAGUGAAAUGCGUAGAUAUCAAGAGGAACACCAGUGGCGAAGGCGAGUCCCUGGACAAUUCCUGACACUGAGGCACGAAAGCCAAGGGAGCAAACGGG
rnacentral:rRNA from 1 species